rnacentral:rRNA from 1 species
CCCUACGGGGCGCAGCAGUGGGGGAUAUUGCACAAUGGGGGGAACCCUGAUGCAGCGACGCCGCGUGGGCGAUGGAGUGCUUCGGCAUGUAAAGCCCUAUCAGCAGGGAAGAAAAUGACGGUACCUGACUAAGAAGCCCCGGCUAAAUACGUGCCAGCAGCCGCGGUAAUACGUAUGGGGCAAGCGUUAUCCGGAUUUACUGGGUGUAAAGGGAGCGUAGACGGUUAUGUAAGUCUGGAGUGAAAGCCCGGGGCCCAACCCCGGGACUGCUUUGGAAACUGUGUAACUGGAGUACAGGAGGGGCG